GGGUUGUGAGGUUAAGCGACUAAGCGUACACGGUGGAUGCCCUGGCAGUUAGAGGCGAUGAAGGACGUGCUAAUCUGCGAUAAGCGUCGGUAAGGUGAUAUGAACCGUUAUAACCGGCGAUUUCCGAAUGGGGAAACCCAGUGUGAUUCGUCACACUAUCAUUAACUGAAUCCAUAGGUUAAUGAGGCGAACCGGGGGAACUGAAACAUCUAAGUACCCCGAGGAAAAGAAAUCAACCGAGAUUCCCCCAGUAGCGGCGAGCGAACGGGGAGCAGCCCAGAGCCUGAAUCAGUGUGUGUGUUAGUGGAAGCGUCUGGAAAGGCGCGCGAUACAGGGUGACAGCCCCGUACACAAAAAUGCACAUACUGUGAGCUCGAUGAGUAGGGCGGGACACGUGGUAUCCUGUCUGAAUAUGGGGGGACCAUCCUCCAAGGCUAAAUACUCCUGACUGACCGAUAGUGAACCAGUACCGUGAGGGAAAGGCGAAAAGAACCCCGGCGAGGGGAGUGAAAAAGAACCUGAAACCGUGUACGUACAAGCAGUGGGAGCACAGAGCAAUCUGUGUGACUGCGUACCUUUUGUAUAAUGGGUCAGCGACUUAUAUUCUGUAGCAAGGUUAACCGAAUAGGGGAGCCGAAGGGAAACCGAGUCUUAACUGGGCGUUAAGUUGCAGGGUAUAGACCCGAAACCCGGUGAUCUAGCCAUGGGCAGGUUGAAGGUUGGGUAACACUAACUGGAGGACCGAACCGACUAAUGUUGAAAAAUUAGCGGAUGACUUGUGGCUGGGGGUGAAAGGCCAAUCAAACCGGGAGAUAGCUGGUUCUCCCCGAAAGCUAUUUAGGUAGCGCCUCGUGAAUUCAUCUCCGGGGGUAGAGCACUGUUUCGGCAAGGGGGUCAUCCCGACUUACCAACCCGAUGCAAACUGCGAAUACCGGAGAAUGUUAUCACGGGAGACACACGGCGGGUGCUAACGUCCGUCGUGAAGAGGGAAACAACCCAGACCGCCAGCUAAGGUCCCAAAGUCAUGGUUAAGUGGGAAACGAUGUGGGAAGGCCCAGACAGCCAGGAUGUUGGCUUAGAAGCAGCCAUCAUUUAAAGAAAGCGUAAUAGCUCACUGGUCGAGUCGGCCUGCGCGGAAGAUGUAACGGGGCUAAACCAUGCACCGAAGCUGCGGCAGCGACGCUGAUGCGUUGUUGGGUAGGGGAGCGUUCUGUAAGCCUGUGAAGGUGUACUGUGAGGUAUGCUGGAGGUAUCAGAAGUGCGAAUGCUGACAUAAGUAACGAUAAAGCGGGUGAAAAGCCCGCUCGCCGGAAGACCAAGGGUUCCUGUCCAACGUUAAUCGGGGCAGGGUGAGUCGACCCCUAAGGCGAGGCCGAAAGGCGUAGUCGAUGGGAAACAGGUUAAUAUUCCUGUACUUGGUGUUACUGCGAAGGGGGGACGGAGAAGGCUAUGUUGGCCGGGCGACGGUUGUCCCGGUUUAAGCGUGUAGGCUGGUUUUCCAGGCAAAUCCGGAAAAUCAAGGCUGAGGCGUGAUGACGAGGCACUACGGUGCUGAAGCAACAAAUGCCCUGCUUCCAGGAAAAGCCUCUAAGCAUCAGGUAACAUCAAAUCGUACCCCAAACCGACACAGGUGGUCAGGUAGAGAAUACCAAGGCGCUUGAGAGAACUCGGGUGAAGGAACUAGGCAAAAUGGUGCCGUAACUUCGGGAGAAGGCACGCUGAUAUGUAGGUGAAGCGACUUGCUCGUGGAGCUGAAAUCAGUCGAAGAUACCAGCUGGCUGCAACUGUUUAUUAAAAACACAGCACUGUGCAAACACGAAAGUGGACGUAUACGGUGUGACGCCUGCCCGGUGCCGGAAGGUUAAUUGAUGGGGUCAGCGCAAGCGAAGCUCUUGAUCGAAGCCCCGGUAAACGGCGGCCGUAACUAUAACGGUCCUAAGGUAGCGAAAUUCCUUGUCGGGUAAGUUCCGACCUGCACGAAUGGCGUAAUGAUGGCCAGGCUGUCUCCACCCGAGACUCAGUGAAAUUGAACUCGCUGUGAAGAUGCAGUGUACCCGCGGCAAGACGGAAAGACCCCGUGAACCUUUACUAUAGCUUGACACUGAACAUUGAGCCUUGAUGUGUAGGAUAGGUGGGAGGCUUUGAAGUGUGGACGCCAGUCUGCAUGGAGCCGACCUUGAAAUACCACCCUUUAAUGUUUGAUGUUCUAACGUUGACCCGUGAUCCGGGUUGCGGACAGUGUCUGGUGGGUAGUUUGACUGGGGCGGUCUCCUCCUAAAGAGUAACGGAGGAGCACGAAGGUUGGCUAAUCCUGGUCGGACAUCAGGAGGUUAGUGCAAUGGCAUAAGCCAGCUUGACUGCGAGCGUGACGGCGCGAGCAGGUGCGAAAGCAGGUCAUAGUGAUCCGGUGGUUCUGAAUGGAAGGGCCAUCGCUCAACGGAUAAAAGGUACUCCGGGGAUAACAGGCUGAUACCGCCCAAGAGUUCAUAUCGACGGCGGUGUUUGGCACCUCGAUGUCGGCUCAUCACAUCCUGGGGCUGAAGUAGGUCCCAAGGGUAUGGCUGUUCGCCAUUUAAAGUGGUACGCGAGCUGGGUUUAGAACGUCGUGAGACAGUUCGGUCCCUAUCUGCCGUGGGCGCUGGAGAACUGAGGGGGGCUGCUCCUAGUACGAGAGGACCGGAGUGGACGCAUCACUGGUGUUCGGGUUGUCAUGCCAAUGGCACUGCCCGGUAGCUAAAUGCGGAAGAGAUAAGUGCUGAAAGCAUCUAAGCACGAAACUUGCCCCGAGAUGAGUUCUCCCUGACCCUUUAAGGGUCCUGAAGGAACGUUGAAGACGACGACGUUGAUAGGCCGGGUGUGUAAGCGCAGCGAUGCGUUGAGCUAACCGGUACUAAUGAACCGUGAGGCUUAACCUUACAACGCCGAAGGUGUUU
rnacentral:rRNA from 1 species